GACGUAGGAUGCGAGCGUUAUUCGGAUUUAUUGGGCGUAAAGCGUGCGUAGGCGGCUAUUUAAGUCUGGUGUUAAAGCUAGGGGCUCAACCCCUGUGGUGCAUCGGAUACUGGGUAGCUUGAGUGCGGUAGGGGAAGGUGGAAUUCCGAGUGUAGCGGUGAAAUGCGUAGAUAUUCGGAAGAACACCGGUGGCGAAGGCGACCUUCUGGGCCGCAACUGACGCUGAGGCACGAAAGCCUGGGGAGCGAACGGG
rnacentral:rRNA from 1 species